UCAUUUUCCACUUACUGGACCAUCCCAUUUCUUGGUUUCCGCACCCCCCGAAAUGUUUCUUCUUUUACCUUUCACGGAAAUGAUUCAAAUGAAGACGAUGAACACACGUUUGUUCGAUUAGUCCCUAAUCUUCAACGAAGAUUUUCCUCUUCACAAUGGAAUAGGAAAGAAGGAUUGAAUUUGAAGAUUGGACUACAGCAGGUUCCAUUUUGAGGUAUUGAGAAAACUUGUGGAUGAUGCAUCAAAGUUUUUGAACGAGUAAGUCACAAAAGCUGUGGUUAUAGUAACUGCCUUCCUCAAAGGACAGCCACAAAGGAUGCUGGAAGAAGAUUGCUGGAUUAGAGGUUAUUUGUAUCAUCAACGAGCCAACUGCUGCUUCAUGGUCCUUAGGUUUUGAGAAGAAAACCAAUGAAAAUCAAUCCUAGUGUUUGAUCUUGGUGAUGGAAUUCUGAUGUAUCAGGCUAGUUAGAUGUGAGAAUGGAGACGUUGAUGAAUCUUGGUUUCAGUUAUCUGUGGGUUAAGUGUAUGGAAUACGGAUGCUUUUGAGAUGUUGCUGAAUGUUCAAAGGCUUGAGAAUCAC